GGUUGUAGCCCAGUAGUAAAGCAUUCAUCUAGUAUGUGUGAGAUCCUGGGUUCAAUCCCCAGAACUG
rnacentral:tRNA from 1 species